rnacentral:rRNA from 1 species
GAAACCAACAGGGAUUGCCUUAGUAACGGCGAGUGAAGCGGCAACAGCUCAAAUUUGAAAUCUGGCCCUCGGGUCCGAAUUGUAAUUUGUAGAGGAUGAUUUUGGUGCGGUAUCUUCCGAGUUCCUUGGAACAGGACGCCUUAGAGGGUGAGAGCCCCGUACGGUUGAAUGCCUAGCCUCUGUAAAUCUCCUUCGACGAGUCGAGUAGUUUGGGAAUGCUGCUCUAAAUGGGAGGUAAAUUUCUUCUAAAGCUAAAUAUUGGCCAGAGACCGAUAGCGCACAAGUAGAGUGAUCGAAAGAUGAAAAGCACUUUGAAAAGAGGGUUAAAUAGCACGUGAAAUUGUUGAAAGGGAAGGAUUUGUGACCAGACUUUUUCUGGGCGGAUCAUCCGGGGUUCUCUCCGGUGCACUUUGCCCAGUAAAGGCCAGCAUCGAUUUUCGGCGGCGGAUAAAAGCAGUGGGAAUGUGGCUCCCUACGGGGAGUGUUAUAGCCCAUUGUAUAAUACGCUGCUGGGGAUCGAGGUACGCGCUUCUGCAAGGAUGCUGCGGUAAUGGUUAUCAAUCACCCGCCUUGAAACACGGACCAAGGAGUCGAACAUUUAUGCGAGUGUUUGGGUGUUAAACCCUCACGCGUAAUGAAAGUGAACGGAGGUGAGAGCCCUUACGGGUGCAUCAUCGACCGAUCCUGAAGUUUUCGGAUGGAUUUGAGUAAGAGCAUAACUGUUCGGACCCGAAAGAUGGUGAACUAUGCGUGGAUAGGGUGAAGCCAGAGGAAACUCUGGUGGAGGCUCGCAGCGGUUCUGACGUGCAAAUCGAUCGUCAAAUCUGCGCAUGGGGGCGAAAGACUAAUCGAACCAUCUAGUAGCUGGUUACCG